GAGCGUUUUGUCGGUUAAACGGUCACGCGCAGACGGGCGAGUGCGGAACGGCUCUCCAGUCACAGCUCCCGGCUCCUGCGGGGAGUUUAAGGAGGCAGCAGGAGCGCUCCAAUGGCCCCUCUUAGCUUUGCCAUCCACUGGGGAAUCCGUGCUUACUGCGCACCCCCAGCACCACAGCCUUAGAGGGAACUCGCCCUGUUCACGGGUACCAGCGUGCUGACAACAGAUCCGUCGUUCCCCUUGGCUAAGCCCCGUGAUCUGGCAAUAAGGAGUCUCACAGGAAUAUCCCGGGGACCACCAAGUUUCCGUUGUAUAGGGGCCACCCUAGGAGGACCGAGAUUUUUUUCGACACCCAUGGUACUUGUGCUUACUGAAACAAAGGUCAUUGACAAAGACGUUAAACAACAUAGGGCCAAGAACCAGUCUCUGUGGAACUCUACUAGGGACACACCCACUCAAUGGUGAUCCUGUUUACAACUACAUUUGGAGUUCUGUCAGAUAAAGGAGAAAGCCAAUGCUUUGGACAAUGGUGGUUCUGACAGACAAUGAGGCAGUGAGAAGGAGCACUGCUCCCAGCCAGCCAGCAAGCUCUCUAAUCAACAAGCAACACUCUUGGCAAUGAUGUCCCUCAGCAAAGAACACUCCAGGUUUGGAAGGUACAACAAAUCUCCAAGGAGAAGGAGAGGGGUAAGCAGGAAAGGGAAUUCCAAAGAAUAGCCUAUCCACGGUGAGUUGGGGUUGAUUAAAGAGGCCAUAAAAUCAAAAACCCAAUAUUGACUGGGAACAUGUUAACUCAUGGUGUGAUACAAAGAUAAAGUUUUAGAACAUUAACAACUGCUUGUAGGAGGCAUUCUGAAUCUAGUCCUAAGUGAAGCACAGGAUCUGGUGUAAGAGAUGAAUAUAUCUGAACUGCUUAGUAACUGCAACAGUAAUGUAAUUAAAUUUAACAUCUUUACAGGAGGGAAAAUACCAAAGAAACCCACCAUGGUAGCAUUUAUCUUCAAAAGAGGAACUAAACAAAAAUUAGGCUAGUUAAACGGAAAUCAAAAGGAACAGUCAGAAGAGUGAAAUGCCUGUAAGCUCCAUGGAAACUUUAAAAAAAAUUAUGAUAGAUGUCCAAAUUAUAUGAAUACCUCUAAAACAAAAGUAGCAAGAGGAUCACAAAAAUGUUCCAUGGAUAAUCAAUAUAGUAAAAGAGGCAAUUAGAGAAAGAGACAUUUUCUAAAAAGCGGAGGUCAAAUUCUACUGAGGAAAAGAGAAAGGAGCAUAAACUCUAGCACGAAUAAAAGCAUGACCAGACAGGCCAAAAAAGAAUCUGAAGAGCAUCUAGCAGAAAACACAAAAACAGCAAUUAAAAAAAAAAGUACAUCAGAAGCAGAAAGCCUGCUAAACAAUCAGUGCAGCCACUGGACAGGCAAGGUGCUAAAGGAGCACUCCGGGAAGAAAAGGCUGUUUUAGAGAAGCUAGAAGAAUUCUCUGCAUUGGUCUUCACUGCAGAGGAUGUGAGGAAAUUCCCAUACCUAAGUCAUUCUUCCCAGGUGAUAAAUCUGAGGAACUGUCCCCAGACUGAGGUGUCAGAGAAGGUUUUGGAACAAAUUGAUAAAAAAAAACAGUAAUAAGCCAUCGGGACCAGAUAGUAUGCAUGCAAAAGUUCUUAAGGAAUUCAAAUAUGAAACUGCAAAGACAGGAUACUAGAUGGGAAGGGCUCUGAGUUACCUGGGAAAGAAUUUUCUGUAGUGUCUGCCUGGUGGGUCUUUCCCACAUGCUUAGUGUCUAACUGAUCAUCAUAUUUGGGGUUAUGAAGAAACUGGUGGUGGUGGGGGGAUGGAAAAUUCAUCCUCCUCUAGAGAAUGGGUCACAGGUCACUUUCAGGUUUAAACUAAUGUAAAUGGUAAAUUCUCUGUAACUUGAAGUCUUUUAACUAUUAGUUGAGGACUUCAGUAAUUUAGCCUCCAGUCUAUUUCAGGUGUGCGUGUGUGAGAUUCUGUGGCCUGAACUGUGCAGGAGGUCAGACUGAUCUUAAAGUCUAUGAGAACUACUAACAGUGAUAUGUAACAUUAGCCUCUGUCCCAGAGGACUGACAGAUAGCAAAUGAAAUGCUGAUCUUUUAAAAAAGGCUCCAGAGGCCAUACCUUGGCAAUUACAAGCCAAUAACUUCACUACCAGACAAACUGGUUAAGGCUAUAAUAAAGAACAGAAUCAUCAGACUCAUAGAUGCACAUGAUUUGUUGGGGAAGAAUCAACGUGGAUUUGGUAAAGAGAAAUCAUGCCUCAUCAUCUGAUUAGAAUUCUUUGAGAGGGAUCAACAAAUACUUGGAUAAGCGUGAUCCAGUGGAUAUAGGGUACUUGGAUUUCAGCAAGUCAUUGACAAGGUCCCUCACACCAAAGACUCUUAAGCAAAGUAGGCAGUCAGAAGGAAAGAGGGAAGGUCCUCUCAUGGAUCAGUAACUGCUUAAAAUAUAAGAAAAAGAGGGGUGGAACAAAUGAAGUUUUCACAGUGAAGAGGGGUAAACCGCAGUGUCCCCGAGGGAUCUGUUCUGGGAACAGUGCUGUUCAACAUAUUCAAAAAUGAGCUGGAAAGAGGUAAACGGUGAGGUGGAAAAAUUUUCAGACAAUACAAAACUAAUCAAGAUAAUUAAGUACAAAGCAGACUGUGAAAAGUCACAAAGAACAAAAUGGCAGAUAAAAUUCAAUAUUGAUAAGGGCAAAGUAAUGUACAUUGGAGAACAAUCCCAACCAAUCUUCCCUCUAAUUUUUCAUAUGCAUGUGCAGAAUGAAUUUUGUUAUGUGGUGGUGAUGUGUGGUGGGAAUGGGGCUCAGGCUCCGAGUUGGGGCAGAAGGGGUAGGGGUGAGGGCUCUCACUGAGAGUGAAGGCUGUGGGGUGGGUCUAGGGAUGAGAGAUUUGGAGUGCAGUUUGCCCUGGGACUGUGGCAGGAAGAGAGGACUUCCCCAAGUCCUCUCUCCCAGCAACAGGUCUGGGGCUAUGGGAGAGGCAUGUUUCCCCUACACACACAGUCCUGAGCACUAUGUACAGAAAAUGAUGGGGUCUAAAUUAGUUAUCAGUCAACACAGACAUCUUGGAGUCAUGGUGGACAGUUCUCUGAAAACACUUGUUAGAAGUGCAGCAGCAGUCAAAAAAGUUAAUGUUAGGAACCAUUAGGAAAGGUCUAGAUAAAACAGAAAAUAUCAUAACAUCGCUAUGGAAAUCCAUAGUACGCCCACACCCUUGAAUACUUCAAGCAGUUCUGGUCACCCAUUCUCAAAAAAAUACAUUAACCAGGAGAUCUUACCAUGAUCAAAAAGGAGUCUCUCAAAAAGUGGAAACUUGGUCAAAUUCCAAAGGAUGAAUCUAAGCAAACAAUGCCAGUAUGCAGGGGCAAGAUUAGAAAGGCAAAGGCACAAAAUGAGCUCAAACUAGCUAAAGAUAUAAUGGGUAACAAGACAACAUUCUACAGCUAUAUUAAAAGCAGGAAGAUGACCAAGAAUAGAGUAGGCCCUUUGCUUAGUGAAGAGGGAGAAACAACAGGAAAUUUGGAAAUGGCAGAGGUGCUUAAUGACUUCUUUUUUUCGGUUUUCACCAAGAAGAUUGAUGGUGAUGAGAUGCCCAACAUAGUGAACGCUUGUGGAAAUGGCGUAGGUUUAGAAACUAAAAUAGGAAAAGAACAAGUUAAAAAUUUCUUAGAAAAGUUAGAUGUCUUCAAGUCACUGGGGCCUAUCCCACAAGACAGCUGUCAUCCAUGAUUUAAUACUAGAUGAAGGGGCUGACCUGACUUGUAUCACUGAAACCUGG